rnacentral:rRNA from 1 species
AACGAACGCUGGCGGCAUGCCUAACACAUGCAAGUCGAACGAGACCUUCGGGUCUAUUGGCGCACGGGUGCGUAACGCGUGGGAACCUGCCCUUAGGUUCGGAAUAACUCCCCGAAAGGGGUGCUAAUACCGGAUAAUGUCUUCGGACCAAAGAUUUAUCGCCUUUGGAUGGGCCCGCGUUGGAUUAGCUAGUUGGUAGGGGAAAAGCAUACCAAGGCGAAGUUCCAUAGCUGGUCUGAGAGGAUGAUCAGCCACACUGGGACUGAGACACGGCCCAGACCGCGACGGGAGGGAGCAGUGGGGAAUAUUGGAAAAUGGGCGAAAGCCUGAUCCAGCAAUGCCGGGGGAGGGAGGAAGGCCUUAGGGUUGUAAAGCUCUUUUACCCGGGAUGAUAAUGACAGUACCGGGAGAAUAAGCUCCGGCUAACUCCGUG